AUACUUAGCAAUGGAAUUGCUAAAUUAUAUAGCAGUUCUAUUUUUACCUUUUUUGGGGAUUUACAUACUUUUUUUUAUAAUGGCUGUAAUAAUUCACAUUCCCAUCAACAAUGUAUAAGGUUCUCUUUUCUCACCAUCCUCACCAGCAUUUGUUAUUUAUUGUUUUAACAAUAGCCAUUCUAACUGGGGUGAUAUAAUAUCUCAUUGUGGUUCAAUUUGCACUUCCUCAUCGUAAUUCUGAGCAUUUUUAAAAUAUACCUGUUGGCCAUUUAUAUGUAUUCUUUUGAGAAACAUUUAUUCAGUUAUUUUGACUAUUUUUUAUUUAGACUAUUUGUGAGGUUUUUGCUAUUGAGUUGGUUGAGUUCCUUAUAUAUUUUGGUUAUUGAUCCUUUGUCAGUUUGACAUAUUUUUUCCAUUCUAGAAUUGAUCUUUAUCAAGACCCAUGUCCUGGAGAAUUUCACCAAUGUUUCCUUCUAGUAGAUGCAUAGUGCAGGUCUUACAUUUAAGUCUUUAAUUCAUUUUAGUUGAUUUUUUGUAUGUGGUGAAAGAUGGGGACCUAGUUGUAUUCUUUUGCAUAUGGAUACCAGUUUUCUCAGCAACAUUUAUUAAAGAGACUAUCUUUUUUCCAAUGUAUGCUCUUGGCGCCUCUAUCAAAAAUGAGUUGGCUGUACAUGCAGGAUUUAUUUCCUGGGUUUUUUAUUCAUUGAUUUUUGUGUCUGUUUCAUUGGUUUAGGUGUCUUUUUGUGCCAGUAACAUGCUGUUUUGGUUACUCUAGCUUUAUAGUACAACUUAAAAUCAGGUAAUAUGUUGCCUCCAGCUAUGGUUUUUUUUUUUUUUUUUCUAUCUUUUUCUCCUUUUUUUUUUUUUUUUGCUCAGGGAUGCUUUAGUCAUUUCAGGGUUUUCAUGGUUUCAUGUGAAUUUUAGGACUUUUUUUCUAUUUAUGUGAAGAAUGUCAUUGGUAUUUUGACAGGGAUUACAUUGAAUCUAUGGAUAGCUUCGGGUAGUAUAGACAUUUUAACCAUGUAAUUUUUCCAACCCAUGGGAAUGUCCUUCAAUUUUCUGUGUGUGUUCACUUCAAUUUCUUUUAUCAAUGUGUUAUAGUUUUCCUCUUAUAGAUCUUUUACCUCAUUGGUUCAAUUUGUUCCUAGGUAUGUUUUGGUAGCUAUUGUAAAUCAGACUGCAUUCUUGAUCACUUUUUCAGACUGAUUGCCCUCAAUGAUCUCCAUACCUGUUUUAUUGCCCUUCUAUAAUCCAUUCUCAAUGCAUCAACGUGAGGAAUCUUUUAUAAACAUAAAUCAGAUGGCAUCAUUCCCUGGCUCAAAAUCCUAGCUUUCUCUGAAUGCAGUCCAAAUUCAUCACAAGACCCCAUGUUAUCUCUCCCUCCCCCUCCUCACGUGGUACUCUUUUCUAAUUCACAGCACUCCAAACACAUGGAUUUGACAAUGCCAUUACUUUUCUUCAAAUAAGCACACCAACCUUGUUCCUGUCUUAGGACUUUGUGUUUGUUUUUCCCUCUGCCAGGAGCACUUUUCUGUCAGAUUUUCACUCUCUGUAGCCUUUCAUUUCACAGGUCUCUGCCUAAAUAUUGUCUCCUUGAAGAGUCCUUUCUUGACCACCUAAUCUAAAGCAGUCAAUCUCCUUUCCCAGUCACUAUCACAGGAAGACCUUAUUGCAGUUCUCACAGCACUUAUUAGUAUCUGAAAUUAUCUUUCUAGUUUAUUGAUUUCAUUUUGUCUUUUUUCUCUCAUAUAAUUUUAAUAAGAUGAUGGACUUUGACUCUUUUGUUAGGUGAAUUUUCCCCAGUGUCUAUUUAUUGGCUGAUGCAAUAAAUAUUUGUUGGGACAGUAGUUAAAUGAAUAAAAAUAUUAUUAAAUAGGGGGUGUGGACCACUGUCCUUUUAGGCCAGACUUCACCCUAAUUGUAGUUCCAUCCAUUUUUAAAAAAGCUUUAUUUAAUUACUCAUUUCAUUUCCCUAAGCCAUUUUCUCUUUUAAAUAGAAUUAUUAUAAGAUAUGUUAUUCCUGGGAAGAUGGCAUGAAAUGACAUACAACUUAUUCUCCAUUCACCACUCUACUGCACCCUGGAUCUACCAGAUCCAUUUCCCACUCUACUGCAUCCUGUUCUGUGCUGUGACUGGUAUCCAUAAUCUGUAUUACCUGGAUCCAUUUUCCCUUAAGCUCCUCCUUGAGAUCCAACAAUAGGAGAACUCCUCCACUUCCCCUAUUUUCUUUUCCAGACAUGUUUUCUUUACCAGCUGACUCUGAAUGUAAUAACAGAUUCUGCCUGGCUGCUUUUUCCCUUCCAAGUCCCAGCUCUUAUCAGGCACUGGCAAUGCCAUUCUUUCUUCUUGCUUUCCAGGGGAGCUAAAGUCUUCCAACUAUUUUUAGUACCUGGAUGCCUUAUUGCCCAUAUGUUUAUAAAUAGUUAUUUCCUUAAUUAACUUAAGCUAAACUCUUUCAGGUGAGCAUUUGUCUCUUGCCAGGACCAUGAUUAACACUGAUACUGUCUGUGGGCAUUUUCUACACUUCCCAGAAACAAUUUAUUUUAACAACAUUUAUUGAAUGCCAAUUGCAUAUCAGGCACUAAGUAGGCACUCAGCACUAUGUGUAUCUGAUAUAUAGACAUAAGUGUCAUAAUGAUGAUGUUUUCAUUAAACAAG
rnacentral:lncRNA from 1 species